rnacentral:lncRNA from 1 species
GAAGGCUGAUAUACUGGGUUAUUGUGUUUUACUCCAUCAGUACAGACUAGAGAAGACGUCAGAGAGGACAGAAGGCUGAUAUACUGGGUUAUUGUGUUUUACUCCAUCAGUACAGACUAGAGGAGACGUCAGAGAGGACAGAAGGCUGAUAUACUGGGUUAUUGUGUUUUACUCCAUCAGUACAGACUAGAGGAGACGUCAGAAGGAUGAUAUACUGGGUUAUUGUGUUUUACUCCAUCAGUACAGACUAGAGGAGACGUCAGAGAGGACAGAUGGCUGAUAUACUGGGUUAUUGUGUUUUACUCCAUCAGUACAGACCAGAGGAGACGUCAGAGAGGACAGAAGGCUGAUAUACUGGGUUAUUGUGUUUUACUCCAUCAGUACAGACUAGAGGAGACGUCAGAGAGGACAGAAGGCUGAUAUACUGGGUUGUUGUGUUUUACUCCAUCAGUACAGACUAGAGGAGACGUCAGAGAGGACAGAAGGCUGAUAUACUGGGUUGUUGUGUUUUACUCCAUCAGUACAGACUAGAGGAGACGUCAGAGAGGACAGAAUGCCUAUGACAGGUGGUACAUCGAGACAUUACACUGACAAAAAGCCUUAUGAAAAUGUCAUCAUCUACCAACAGAUAAACAGAAUGCUUGUCAACAACAGCGUUUUGUGGAGAAACCAAUAUUAAAACCACACUAAACUGUAUGAAGUUUAGACAUAUGUAGUAGGUGACAGAAAGGCAUACAUUUAUCAAUGUACCCAGCGUUGUCUGAACCUUGAGUUUACACAGAUCCCUCUAGUGGAGUCCCAUUGUAGUAACUCACCCUGGCCACCCAAACCCCUCUACCAAGCAGUAGAACUGGAGCUGCAAAACUAAGGCCUGCCAUUCAACAAGUAUUAGGUCCUUCAUGUCAACCAAUUCACAUCACAGACACACACAAGCCUAAGGGGAUGGUAUUUCAGCGAGCCAUGUAGCUGUCAGUUUUGUUUUUAUGUCCCUUAAAAAGGGACACACCAAACUGGCAGUUACGACUGUUCCCCAACUCAAGGAUGCCAUUUUGACAAGGGCAACAGUAGCUGCAUGUUCACAGGCACAUUCAC